rnacentral:rRNA from 1 species
ACUCAAAGGAAUAGACGGGGGCCCGCACAAGCGGUGGAGCAUGUGGAUUAAUUCGUCACUAACCGAAGAACCUUACCCAGGCUUGACAUUGAGUGCAAGUCCCUGAAAGGGGUCCCCUCCGCAAGGAGCACGAAAACAGGUGUUGCAUGGCUGUCGUCAGCUCGUGUCGUGAGAUGUUGGGUUAAGUCCCGCAACGAGCGCAACCCUCACCGUAUGUUGCCAGCGUAAAGUCGGGAACUCUUACGGAACUGCCCGUGCAAGCGGGAGGAAGGUGGGGACGACGUCAAGUCGGCAUGGCCCUUACGCCUGGGGCUUCACACAUGCUACAAUGGGCGGCACAGAGGGGUGCGAUCCCGCGAGGGGGAGCGAAUCUCAAAAAGCCGUCCUCAGUUCGGAUUGCAGGCUGCAACUCGCCUGCAUGAAGCCGGAAUCGCUAGUAACCGCAGGUCAGCGAAACUGCGGUGAAUACGUUCCCGGGCCUUGUACACACCGCCCGU